CGUUGGCAGCUGCAGGGCAAGGUGAGCGGCUGACUCACCUGGUGGAAGCAGAGCUUACACUUAGGACAUACGAUGCAGUACUACAGUGGAUAUUGAGAAAAAGGCCUUCCCAAAUCUGAAGGCAUGGAUGAAAAGUAUCUCCUAGACCUUCAGGCUACCUUCAAGUUUACUCCAAAACCCUGUCAUCCUUGCUACUGUCACUGGUUUCUAGAGACCGUCUCUUUACCUCAGAUGACCUUCUCUCUGUGUCCCUGAUUGUGCUGCGGGACCGCGAUAACUCUUGACCUAUCUGCUCAAUUAUCGGGGCAUUCUACACCAUGGGCCGGAAUACCAGCUUCCAUUUGAACUGUUCCUCAAGGGCUCACAUGUCGGGGGCUGAGUUGCCAACUGAUGUGCUUAGAGGGUGUGAACGGAUCCUGAGGACUCUGACCUAAUCAGUAGAUUAAUUCCUUCACGGAUUCGUAAUCUGCCAUCGUUAUUGGAGUUCAUUGGGUUGGACUGUCUAAUCCAUCCUCACCCUAGGCUGGGGCUCAGAGACACGGAAGAGGAGACCCCCCGACGGCACCACUUUACCCCUGGAUUAUUCAGCCCUUGAAAACUUGUGGGGACUGGAAGAAUGCGUCUCUACUCACGCACAUCCACACAGACACACUCUGGAGGACACACCAUCUCCAGGGGUCAGAAACACGAUAGAAGCCCGGGUCUCGGGAGACUUGUGAAGUCCACCAAGAUCACAGGAAGGGCGGAGAGCAAAGUUGCAGAUCUGACUGUGGUGACCUCCGGAGGCCUGGGAGGGGCUGGAGGGUGGCUGCUCCUUCUGAAGAUGAAGGGAAGCCACAGACUCAUGUAGGAGUCAGAGUAAACAGCAUUAUCUCGGAGGCUCUUCCUUGAUGACUUAUUCAGAGACAACAAUCCUGAUGAUCCCUGAUGGAGGCACCUGCUAAUUGCCAUCGCUGCAUUUCCGCAUGUAUUUGCUCAUCAUAAUGAUGUCUACCCACCUGGUGCUGUGAGGACCCAGGCGGGCCUGUGGCUGUCUUUCCCCUGCCU